rnacentral:piRNA from 1 species
UGCAUUUUUAAACAUGCAGUGGGAUUUAAC